UUGCCCAUCGGGGCUGUGGAUACCUGCUUCAGUUUUU
rnacentral:ncRNA from 1 species